rnacentral:rRNA from 1 species
CAUCUUUUCUUGUUAGUUUUUGAAGUAUGGCCUGCCCACUGACUUAGAGUUGAAGGGCCGCGGUAUUUUGACCGUGCAAAGGUAGCAUAAUCAUUAGUUCUUUAAUUGUGAUCUGGUAUGAAUGGCUUGACGAGACAUAAGCUGUCUUAGAGGUAUUGGUUUAUUGAAUUUGGUUUUUGAGUUAAAAUUCUUAAAUGUUUUUAUGGGACGAGAAGACCCUAUAGAGUUUGACAAUUUUCCUAUUUAUUCGUUGUUUGUAUUUAUUUACAUUGAGUGGGAGUGAAUUGUUUUGUUGGGGUGAUGGGAGGAAUAUUAUUUAACUCCUCUUUGUUUUUAUAUAUUUAUGUAUAUAUUUUUGAUCCAUUUAUUUUGAUUAUAAGAUUAAAUUACCUUA